rnacentral:tRNA from 1 species
GGGGCUGUAGCUCAGUUGGUUAGAGCGCGUCCCUGUCACGGACGAGGCCAGGGGUUCGAGCCCCCUCAGCCUCG